UUAAAGCAUAUCAAUAAGCGGAGGAAAAGAAACCAACAGGGAUUGCCCUAGUAACGGCGAGUGAAGCGGCAACAGCUCAAAUUUGAAAUCUGGCGCAAGCCCGAGUUGUAAUUUGUAGAGGAUGCUUCUGGGUAGCGACCGAUCUAAGUUCCUUGGAACAGGACGUCAUAGAGGGUGAGAAUCCCGUAUGUGACCGGCCCGCACCCUUUACGUAGCUCCUUCGACGAGUCGAGUUGUUUGGGAAUGCAGCUCUAAAUGGGAGGUAAAUUUCUUCUAAAGCUAAAUACCGGCCAGAGACCGAUAGCGCACAAGUAGAGUGAUCGAAAGAUGAAAAGUACUUUGGAAAGAGAGUUAAAAAGCACGUGAAAUUGUUGAAAGGGAAGCGCCUGCAACCAGACUUCGCGGCAGUGUUCCACCGGUCUUCUGACCGGUUUAUUCUCUGUCGCGAGGCCAUCAUCGUCUCGGCCCGCCGGAUAAGACCUGAGGAAUGUAGCUCACCUUCGGGGGAGUGUUAUAGCCUCUGGUGAUGCGGCGCGGCUGGGGCGAGGUCCGCGCUUCGGCAAGGAUGAUGGCGUAAUGGUUGUCGGCGGCCCGUCUUGAAACACGGACCAAGGAGUCUAACAUCUAUGCGAGUGUUCGGGUGUCAAACCCCUACGCGUAAUGAAAGUGAACGGAGGUGGGAACCGCAAGGUGCACCAUCGACCGAUCCUGAUGUCCUCGGAUGGAUUUGAGUAAGAGCAUAGCUGUUGGGACCCGAAAGAUGGUGAACUAUGCCUGAAUAGGGUGAAGCCAGAGGAAACUCUGGUGGAGGCUCGCAGCGGUUCUGACGUGCAAAUCGAUCGUCAAAUUUGGGUAUAGGGGCGAAAGACUAAUCGAACCAUCUAGUAGCUGGUUCCUGCCGAAGUU
rnacentral:rRNA from 1 species